rnacentral:rRNA from 1 species
AUGCAAUUCCACCGUCGCCAAACUGCACUGCAUUUUUUGCAAUGUGCUGACCCCAAAAAAGAACUGCACGUCCACGGGCGCCCAACCACACGCCCCCACACACUGUACCGCACGCCGCCGGCGCGCCGCUGCGGGGCUGAUGCAGGGCGGCAAGGCAAGGCAGGGCCGCAGCAGAAAGAACUAUCAGGAAGGGAGCUCAUGGAGGCAGGGGCAUGGGGGAGCCAGAUCGGUACUGGUUGGGGGGCGGUGGAGACUGGGCAUGAAGAAUCUCGCCGAAUAAUUCACGGGGCCGCGUCGGAGGAGAACCCUCCUACCUCCACUCUGUUUGUGUACCACAUGCCCUCGAUGGGCGACCUGUAA